rnacentral:rRNA from 1 species
GGGAAAAAUUUAAUAAUAAAGUAUUAAUAAAAAAAUUUUUAAGUUAAAAAAAAUUUAAUGGGGGUUAAAGUAUUUUUAAUAAAAAAAAUUUGAAAUUUUAUAGUAAAUUAGUAUUGUAAAAGAAUUUUUAAAUAGUUGAAAAAUAAUUGAAUUAAAAGUAAAUUUUAUUUAUUGUAUCUUGUGUAUCAGAGUUUAUUAAAUAUUAAUUUUAAAUAAAACAAUCUCGAAUUUAAAAGAGUUAAUUAAUUAAAAAAUUUACUGUUGAAUAAUUAUUUUUAAUAAUUAAUUAGAAAUGAAAUGUUAAUCGUUUUUAAAGAUAUCUAGUUUUUUUAAAAAAAAAUUUAAUUUUAAAUUAAUAUUAUUUAUUAAUUUAUUUAAAAAUUAAUAAAAUUUUAAAUUUAAUAGUUUGGGGGAUAAGCUUUAAAUUAAAAUUUUAUAAUUAAUUAAUUAAAUUAUUUAAAAUUUUUAAUAUUUAAAUUGUUUAAAAUUUUUAGUUUAUUAUAAAAAAUUUUAAUUUAAAUAAAAUUUAAUAUAAAUUUAAUUUUUUAUAAAAAAAAUUAUUAAAAUUAUUAAAAUAAAGUUAUAAUGAUAAAAUUAGUAUAUUAAAAAAAAAAAUUAUAAAAUAAAUUUAUAAUUAAAUUAAAGGAAUUCGGCAAAAAUUUAUAUUCACUUGUUUAUCAAAAACAUGUCUUUUUGUUAAUAAUUUAAAGUCUAAUCUGCCCACUGAUUUAAAAUUAAAGGGCUGCAGUAUAUUGACUGUACAAAGGUAGCAUAAUCAUUAGUCUUUUAAUUGAAGACUUGUAUGAAAGAUUUGAUGAAAUAUAUACUGUCUCUAUUUUAUUUAUAGAAUUUAAUAUUUUAGUAAAAAAGCUAAAAUAUUUUUAAAAGACGAGAAGACCCUAUAGAGUUUUAUAAUUUAUUUAAUUAAAAUAUUAUAUAUUAUUUAAUAUUAGAGUUAAUUAAAUUAUUUUAUUGGGGUGAUAGAAAAAUUUAAUAAACUUUUUUUAAAAUUUUAACAUUUAUAAAUGUAUAAUUGAUCCAUUAUUAAUGAUUAAAAGAAAAAAUUACCUUAGGGAUAACAGCGUAAUAUUUUUUUUUAGUACAAAUAAAAAAAAGAGUUUGCGACCUCGAUGUUGGAUUAAGAUAAAAUUUAAAUGCAAAAGUUUAAAAUUUUGAUCUGUUCGAUCAUUAAAAUCUUACAUGAUCUGAGUUCAAACCGGUGUGAGCCAGGUUGGUUUCUAUCUUUAAAUAAAUAAAAUAUUUUAGUACGAAAGGAUCAAAUAUUUAAAAUAAUUUUAAUUUUUGAAUUUUAUUAAUUUAUUUGUUUAUAUAUAUAUAUAUAUAUAUAUAUAUAUUAA